rnacentral:rRNA from 1 species
AGGAGAGAUGGCUUAAGGGGGUACGAGGGCUUCUUCCACGUAUUCGCUCCAGGAUGGGACUGCGACCGAUCAGGCUGUUGGCGGGGUAAUGGCCCACCAAACCUGUAACCGGUACGGGCCUUGAGAGAGGUGGCCCGGAGAUGGACACUGAGAGAAGGGUCCAGGUCCUACGGGGCGCAGCAGGCGCGAAACCUUCGCAAUGCGCGAAAGCGUGACGAGGUUAAUCCGAGUGACUCCCGCUGAGGGGGUCUUUUGUCAGCUGUAAAUAGGCAGGCGAAUAAGGGGAGGGCAAGCCUGGUGUCAGCCGCCGCGGUAAUACCAGCUCCUCGAGUGGUCGGGACGAUUAUUGGGCCUAAAGCAUCCGUAGCCGGUUCCGUAGGUCUUCUGUUAAAUCCAACAGCUUAACUGUUGACCUGCAGAGGAUACCGCGGGACUAGGAGGCGGGAGAGGCGGACGGUACUCCGCGUGUAGGGGUAAAAUCCCUUGAUCCGCGGAAGACCACCAGUGGCGAAGGCGGUCCGCCAGAACGCGCUCGACGGUGAGGGAUGAAAGCUGGGGGAGCGAACCGGAUUAGAUACCCGGGUAGUCCCAGCCGUAAACGAUGCUAGCUAGAUGAUUCAUUCGCAAGUCGCGAAUGAAGUGUCGCAGGGAAGCCGUUA